AAAAUGCAACAAACGCCAACAUACAUACAGAAGAAACAAACUAUUUGAUAACAACUGUCAUAUUUCUGACUUGAUCAUGUACAGGACGAUUUAGGAAAAAAAAUGAUGGGUUUAGCCUAGUUUUAUGGCUAGCCAAACCUCCUACUUAUGUAGCGUUACAAAAUAUCACUAAAAUGACAUCACUACGUGACAGAAAUACAGCACAAACAAUUGCAACAACACUCAGCACACAUAAAAGUACACGUAAAUAAUAGGAUUGCCGUUACAACCAGUAAACCGCAAAAUAACAAACAUCUUCUAUUAACGACAGCACAGGAAUCACAAACAAUGACGUAUUUUUGUAACGAAUAUAUAAUCUUGAAAUCAUACAAUUAUUUUAACAAUACUAGUCCAAACAAUUAUCAUGAUUAUGACGGAAUUGAAAGGGUAUAGAAAAAUAAAUGCUGUGACGACGUCAUAAUUAUUUGGAUUUACACAAUACUUUAUCCAUGGAAAGAGGAAAUUAACUCGACUAAACUGACAAAUAAGACAUAGCUGAAAUUAAAUAUGUUUAUAAAAAGAAAAAUGAUAACUAAAAGAAAAGAACAUUUCAUAGUUCAGAGAAAAUGAACUAAAGUCUUCAAAACACUACACAGAAAAUUAAAGAAUAAGCACAGAAACCUUCAGGUGCUCCAAAAUGGCAAAAGAGUAGAGUAACAAAAAUCCCGAACUUUGAGGGAAAUUUAAAACGGAAGGUCCCUAAUCAAAUGGCAAAAUCAAAAGUUCAAACACAUCAAACAAAUAGACAAUAGCUUUCAUAUUCCGUACUUGGUACAGGUAUUUUAUUAUGUAGAAAAUGGUGGUUUACAUCUGGUUUUAUAUCUAGCUAAACCUCGCACUUGUACGACAGUCGCAUAAAAUUCAAUUAUAUUAACAACGAUGCGUAAACAAAACAAAUGGACAUAAUAGGUAAAAAAAAAAAUGCCAGACCCUGCUCCACUGGAGAACAUUUUAUUGAACAUACGCUAUGUACGGUAAUUGAAGUUUGCAAUUGUUCUGUUUAAUCAAUGUCGUUCCAAUUGAAAGCUAGUUAUUUAAAGUCAUACGUCGCCAAGACGUGAUAUAAUGAUUAUGCAUCGAGUUUAGGAAGUUGAAUCUACCCUCGACAGAAGCACAUACACACUUCCACAGGUCACUGAGUAGCGUUUCUGAUUAAAAAAUAUGAUUGAAGCUACACAGACUUAAAUUGCACGAGUGUAAUCCUUACACAAAAACACUCUAAAAGAGUUAUGAGGAAGAAAAAACUUAAAUCGACAAGUCAAAAGUUUUACAAUAGCCAGC
rnacentral:lncRNA from 1 species